UACGGAGGGGGGCUAGCGUUGUUCGGAAUUACUGGGCGUAAAGCGCACGUAGGCGGCUUUGUAAGUUAGAGGUGAAAGCCCAGGGCUUAACCCUGGAAUUGCCUUUAAGACUACAUCGCUCGAAUUGUGGAGAGGUGAGUGGAAUUCCGAGUGUAGAGGUGAAAUUCGUAGAUAUUCGGAAGAACACCAGUGGCGAAGGCGACUCACUGGACACAUAUUGACGCUGAGGUGCGAAAGCGUGGGGAGCAAACAGG
rnacentral:rRNA from 1 species